UUUUAAGUGCAUAGUCCAAUAGAAAAUGAUCUGUGUGAAGUAGACACAUUAUUUACACAUCAAGACUCUACUAGUUGAACUGAGUAACCCAGAAAAUCAUCUGAGAAAUUCAGUUUGUUGAAAAGAUUGACAGAAAUCCAGAUCUGAAAAUAAUGAAAAAAUUUUCCUCAUUUUCCCUUCUCCUGUGUUCUGUCUGAUGGUGGCACCAAUGAGCAAUGGAAUAACCAAAAGCCAGGACACCUGGCAGAAGCUGAAGGUGCGCUAACUCUAAAAGGACUGAUGAGAACUUUGCUGUGCUUGUAGAGAGGACUCCCCUUUACUGAAUGCCUUUUAUGCACGAUCUGCAUUAUAUGAAUUGUCCUAUUAAUCCUCAAAACCAUUCUAUGAGGCUUGAACAGCUCCAUACUUGUAGUGGACAGAAACUGCAGCCGACUUUCUUGCACAAGAACCUGGAAUUAUGGCUGUGUGUGCAUAGCUGAACUUUGCUGAAGCACUGAGUUCUGAUUAAUGCAAUUAAACGAGUGAAGGGAUCACUUGAGGAAGAGCCUGAAUGGAUUUCUGAAAAGGCCAUAAUAUUUUAAAAGCCCAUUUACAAGAGAAGAUGUGUGGUAACUUUGAAGUAUACCUCAAUUAAUGGCACAGACAGUGAAAUGAGUAUCUUCAGAGUUAGUCAAGGACAUCAGGAAUUAUUUACUUAAAAUGAAAAUAUUGAAAGUAUUAAACUGUAUUUGUCAGCUACUGUUAUGAACUAACAUUUCACGGAGGAUUAAGUGCUACUACAGUCUGUACUAAAUUAACUUUUAUUUUUAACUUUGUGUCAUUCUGUUCUUCAAACGUCUUUCUGGGUUAAUGACUUAUAAAAAUAAUAUAAAUUAAAAAUUUCCCUGAAAUAUA